rnacentral:tRNA from 1 species
GGGCGUGUAGCUCAAUGGUAGAGCAGUGGCCUUUUAAGCCAUUGGUUGAAGGUUCGAGCCCUUCCACGCUCACUA